rnacentral:lncRNA from 1 species
AACCGUGCAAUACAAAAGCUUUACAAUAGCAGUACACGAGCUGUACAAUGUGCAAAGUGCACCGCCGUUGCACAUGACCUGCAGGUUCACAGCUGUGAAUCACAGCACUCACUGCUUUCUUCAUACAUUUGAACUAUCCCUGAAUGACAGGUACGAAUUCAUAGCAAAUCCUAACAUGACCGAUGCAACUCAGCCAGCAACUCUUACCAUGGAAAAGGGUCCAACAGUCUAACGUCAGAAAAAAUGGACACACAAAUGUUAAGCGCAUGUAAAUGUACCACAAUACAGCCACUAUUGUCUUCUUAUUAAAGCGCUCAAUCCUCGCCUCCGCUGAUGUCAUCUUCACGAACGACGGCAUAUAUCUGCAUAUGAAAGGAUCACAACAAAUCAUUGUUUAGGCAGGAACACAUAGUUGUGAGCAUGUUACGUACAAUGACGGCUGUAGGUGUGACACCGGCAUAACGUGCCUCGAAAUAAGGCAAUAAAAAGCAUUUAGUUAAUAGCCAUGGUCUUGCAACCAGAGGCUUCAUACCUCCGAACGGCCGCUACGUGGCCUGCCACGUCCCGUUUGAGCCCGACUCUUGUUCAUAUCCUUACCACCAUCCUUGCGCUUGUCCUAUUCCUUGCGGUUCUCCUGCUCGUGUCCUUGGAAUGUAAAAUGACAAGGCAUAAUGUCAGUGUAUGCACCUGCAUGAUGGCCACUUACUGCCGGUGCCGUCUAGUCCCCCUUUUCCUGCUUUCCCCUGCUUGCCUGCGAAUGAAUGGUACGCCAUUAUAGAGGAAGAAAGACAGAUUCUUGUUAUGAAGAUGCUAAUUCAUUAGGCUUUACCUUACACUGUCGUCAUUGGAGGAUCAGCGUGAGUAUAAGCAAUGCAUACGCGCUAAACAACAAAUUCAAGAUAAUCUUAUUAGUGCAAUGCGCGCAAUGAAUUACUGCCCUGAGGACACGGGCAGCACUGGGCCUUACGCCCAACUUACUCCCAACUCCCAACUAACCCUCUUACUUAACGCAAGCUCGCAUAAGUUGUUGCGCCAGAGAUAAAUGCCAAAGGAGAAGAUACCCCCUCUAACGGUUGAAAUACUGAAC